AUGGUGGCGGGCCAUUUCAGGCAAUCAUGGCAAUCGGACUGCGUUCCUGAUUUUACCGUUGCUUUUGCGAUUGAAGACGAGAAAGAAAAAGAUGAUUACCAAGAUUGUCCUGUUGAAUACAAUAUCCAUGCCUUGUGCUGUGAGCGGCGUCCACAAUUUAAGGAACCUUGCUGUCCUAGUAAACUAAGCCCCAGGUGCUAUCUUGGCAAAUCAUAUAUACUACUCUGCCAACAUACAAAUGGGGCCCACUUUCAUACGAACGAUUAUGUACAAAUGGCCACCUCAACACAUGCAAAAUAA
rnacentral:rRNA from 1 species